CAGCCGCAGCCGCGCCCGCACCCGCAGAGGCUCGGGCGGGGAGCGCGGGCGCCGGCGGCGGCCCAGCCGGCGACCCAGGCGGGAGACGCGGCCCUCGGGGCUCCUCCGCACCUCCCCGCAGUCUCCGGGGCUCCCAGCCGUCAUCUCGCUGUCGUCUGGGCGCUCUGCGGAGAGAAGAUGGUUGGCAGGGACUGGACCGACGGACCUAGGUUCGGGGAGCCAGGCUCGGGGCCCAAAUCCGGGAGGGAAGCUCGGACCGCCUCGCCCAGGCCGCUUGGAGAUCCCUGGCGGCCACCCCCGGAUUUUCCCGGGCUGCGAGGCGGGGAGCCUCCAACGCUCGGGUUUUCCGCAGCGGAGCACCGAGCCAGGGACGCGCGGCAGAAGCCGGAGUUGGCCCGGCCUGCUGGCGGAGAGGAGGGAGGGGGGCGCGGGCUGCUCCCUGGCGCAUCCCCGGCUGCGGGGCUCCGGCCGCCUGCGCCCGUUGCUACCCCGCGCGGGUCCCGGGCCUCGGGAAGCCUCGCGGGCCCCAGGCAGCGGCGUCUCCUGGACCUCGGUCAGCACUGAAGCUGCAGCAGGACAGACUUGAGCUAGACUCCGAGAAGACCGCUCUGACCAAGACCAGGCAGUCAGAGGAGAGGAGGCAGCGCCGGACUUUGUCCAGGAUUGCUGUCAACUCCGCGCAAAAGAGGCCUCUCCCUCCCCAGCGGCUGGGCGGGAGGCAGGGGGCUGCCGGCCCGGGGCGCAGGGCCUCGCCGGAUGGACUCCCCUCCCCGCUCUCCCGUCGGCUGGGGCAAGGCUGUUCCCAGGUUGCGGCGUUUCCGAUUCGGGAUCCUCCAGAUGAAUCAUCCGCCUUUCCCGCCGCCUGGCCUCCUUUCCGGCCUCCUCCGCCCGAGGCCUCAGUGGCCCGCGUCCCGGCCAGAGCAGCACCGCCCCUGUGCCUCAGGCCGCCCGGGUCCGGGCCACACAGCUGAAGCGCCUCCCGGCUGCUGGUCGCGCGGCCCUGCGGCCCGAGGCCUGGGUCCCGGCCGGGACAGGAGCCGCCGGGCUGCGCGCACGGGGUGGCCCCACGACAGGGAGGCUGUGGGAGGGAGCGCGGCCCCCACCCAGGCGCCCAGCCCGCAGGAGCAGAGGGUAGGACCUCGCGUCCACUGGUGCGCCCUCCGCCCCCGUCUGGUGUCUAAACAGCUGCAGCGCUGGAAGGAGGAGGCCUUGCUACCCUACCCACGCCCCAUCUGCACCCCGAAGCUCAAAGCAGGACACCAUCCCCGCUCGCUCACACAGGGGCCGGGCCUAGCGCGAACCGCAGCGUCUGCCGCGGCCGAAGCCUGGUUUCACAGAAGGAAACUGCGGCCCAGAGAGGCUGAGGAGCCCGCCGGGGUCACACCGCCGCACGAGGCGGGGACUUCACCAGGGCCGUCGCCGGGCUCCUGCACCCUAGCCCUGGGCACCCGACACUUCUUGGCACAGCCACAGAGCGUCCUGGAAGGAGGCCCCGGCGCGUCCCUGCCUGGAGGGAGAUGAAAACACACAGAGCGAAGAGAUGGGGACAUGCUCAGAGACCCCGGGACUCUGGAGGGUGAGUCCACGAUGGGGACCCCACGCAGGCAGAAAGUUGGAGACACAGCCUGACCGUCCCAGGUCGCGGGAAGUUGCUCGGGGCCGAGUCCGCCGUACUCUGGGGUUCUCCCGCCACCGGCCGCGGCCACACUCCGGUCGGGGGGAAAGGGAGGACCGCGCUGCCGCCCCGGGGCCGUGCCGAGGGAGGGGCCAAACAGAAAGUUAGGGAAAGUGGGGAGCAAACCCAGGGAUCCUGGCUCGGCUCACCUAGUUCGGCCGGUCCGGGCGCGAGUGCGCGCGCCGCGCCUCCCCGCGCCGCCUGGGUCUCCACGGAACCCGGCCCCGCCCCGGCUCCGCCCCGGCCCCGCCCCCGGGGCCCCCGGCACCGUCCGGGUCGCGCAGGGCCCGGCCCCCACGCUGCGAAAAGGCGGCAACUCAGGUCUGAGGGGCGCAGGUGAGCGCUGUGUGCGCGCCUGGUGACUCCGCGCCUCUGGGGACCCGAGUCCUGCCAUCCCCACUCCCUCCCGCAGCUUCAUCGCUUGGAGAGGCCCGAAGGGCGCCCCCUUCCUCCGUGGGGAGGCUGAGACCCCAGGACCGAGGACCCCGCAGCCCGAGCCUGCAGACUGAGGAUGAGGAAUCCGCACAGCCGCCUCGCAGAAGCGGCGACCCCACGGCGCUCCCGCGGUCUGAGCCUCACUGCCGUCAUCUGCAAAAUGGGCUCAGCGCCGCCGCCCCACCAGAUGCUGAGAGGCGCAUCCGGCGCCGAGGGCAGAGUCGCGACCCCGCACGCCCUCGGUGGGCGGCAGUCGCGGG
rnacentral:lncRNA from 1 species